rnacentral:rRNA from 1 species
UACGAGGGGGGCGAGCGUUGUUCGGAAUUAUUGGGCGUAAAGGGUGCGUAGGCGGUUUGGUAAGUCUGAUGUGAAAUCUAUGGGCUCAACUCAUAGUCUGCAUCGGAAACUGCCGGGCUUGAGUAUGGGAGAGGUGAGUGGAAUUCCUGGUGUAGCGGUGAAAUGCGUAGAUAUCAGGAGGAACACCUGUGGCGAAAGCGGCUCACUGGACCAUAACUGACGCUGAUGCACGAAAGCUAGGGGAGCAAACAGGAUUAGAUACCCUGGUAGUCCUAGCCCUAAACGAUGACUGCUUGGUGUGACGGGUACCCAAUCCCGCCGUGCCGUAGCUAACGCGUUAAGCAGUCCGCCUGGGGAGUACGGUCGCAAGGCUGAAACUCAAAG